rnacentral:rRNA from 1 species
UACAUAGGGUGCAAGCGUUGUCCGGAAUUAUUGGGCGUAAAGAGCUCGUAGGUGGUUCGAUACGUCGGAUGUGAAAAUCUGGGGCUCAACCCCAGACCUGCAUCCGAUACGGUCGAGCUAGAGUUUGGUAGGGGAGACUGGAAUUCCUGGGUGUAGCGGGUGGAAUGCGCAGAUAUCAGGAGGAACACCAAUGGCGAAGGCAGGUCUCUGGGCCAAUACUGACACUGAGGGAA